rnacentral:rRNA from 2 species
GGACUACUGGGGUAUCUAAUCCUGUUCGCUCCCCACGCUUUCGCGCCUCAGCGUCAGUAUUAUGCCAGGUGGCUGCCUUCGCCAUCGACGUUCCUUCCGAUCUCUACGCAUUUCACCGCUACACCGGAAAUUCCGCCACCCUCUCAUAUACUCUAGUCAAACAGUUUGCGAUGCACUUCCCAGGUUAAGCCCGGGGAUUUCACAUCACACAUAUUCAACCGCCUACGCGCCCUUUACGCCCAGUAACUCCGAUUAACGCUCGCACCCUCUGUAUUACCGCGGCGGCUGGCAC